rnacentral:rRNA from 1 species
CCUACGGGAGGCAGCAGUAGGGAAUCUUGCGCAAUGGGCGCAAGUCUGAGGGAGCAACGCCGCGUGAGUGAAGAAGGUUUUUGGAUCGUAAAGCUCUGUUGCCAAGGAAGAACGCCUUGGGGAGAAACUGCCCUGAGGGUGACGGUACUUGAGAAGAAAGCCCCGGCUAACUACGUGCC